rnacentral:rRNA from 1 species
GUUGUAUGGUUAAGCGACUAAGCGUAUACGGUGGAUGCCUUGGCAGUCAGAGGCGAUGAAGGACGUAGUAACUUGCGAAAAGCGUUGGCGAGCUAG